UCUAGAUAAUAAGUCCUGCCACGAUUGCAGGGGACUGGACUAGAUGAUCUCUUGAGGUCCCUUCCAGUGCUAUGAUUGUGCUUUUACCUGGUUCUAGCUUGCCUCGUUAGCCAGAGGACUCCCCCCCACCUUGUCUUGUCCCUUUGCCAAGGUGCAUCAAUCUGGAUGAAGUAAGGAUGCUGGGUGGCAAGGGAGGGCAGGAGUGGGGGGGUGUGGAUGUGUGUGUGUGG